UGGGGAAUAUUGCACAAUGGAGGGAACUCUGAUGCAGCGACGCCGCGUGAACGAAGAAGGCUUUCGAGUCGUAAAGUUCUUUUAUAUGGGAAGAUAAUGACGGUACCAUAAGAAAAAGCCCCGGCUAACUACGUGCCAGCAGCCGCGGUAAUACGUAGGGGGCUAGCAUUGUCCGGAAUCACUGGGCGUAAAGGGUUCGCAGGCGGAAAUGCAAGUCAGGUGUAAAAGGCAGUAGCUUAACUACUGUAAGCAUUUGAAACUGCAUAUCUUGAGAAGAGUAGAGGUAAGUGGAAUUUUUAGUGUAGCGGUGAAAUGCGUAGAUAUUAAAAAGAAUACCGGUGGCGAAGGCGACUUACUGGGCUCAUUCUGACGCUGAGGAACGAAAGCGUGGGUAGCAAACAGG
rnacentral:rRNA from 1 species